UGUCAAUAAUUAGUUACACUCACAGAUCUCAUAAUCAAAUAACAAUAUCAGAAAAAAGGAGAAUAGUUUGUUAGUUAGUGGAAGUAGCCAGAAUGGGCAAGUGGACCUCAGUUCCUAUUACAUAAGGUUCUAGGAAGUUUGCGAUAAUGAAAAUUUAUCACAGUGUAAUAUCACUUACUUACUUUAACAGAGAAGGAAAACAUUGUGAUGAAACCUGGACACCUAAAUGUUAUUAGGAUUUUCUUAGAUGUCCAGCCACUUGAAAAUAGGUGUAGUAAUGACAAAGCUAUCCAAGUAGCUCCAGCGCAGGAACACAAAGGCAAGGCAAGUGUGUAUUGCCACAUCACCCCUUAAUAUAUCUGAAGCAAGUACAAGUAAACAAUCAGAACCAGCAAAAAGAAAACUGUUGUUCCUGAGGACAAAUUUGACAGUGAUCAGUCAAAUGCAGAAGGAUCAGCUGUUGAGAGUUAUCUCUCUAUAUCUCCACUCCAUCAAAGACUUGUGCACUUCAUUUAUUGAAAUUAAUAUUAAUGAAUAUUAAUUUAAAUUAUCGUGCGAAUUUUGUGGUCAAAACAUUUAAGUGUAUUUUAUAAAUAAAUAUUCAUUCUCAGUA